rnacentral:rRNA from 1 species
UACGUAGGCAGCGAGCGUUGUUCGGAGUUACUGGGCGUAAAGCGUGCGUAGGCGGUGUCUUAAGUUUGUUGUGAAAUCUCCCGGCUUAACCGGGAGGGUGCGGCGAAUACUGAGAUGCUGGAGUGCGGGAGAGGUAAGCGGAAUUCCUGGUGUAGCGGUGAAAUGCGUAGAUAUCAGGAGGAACACCUGCGGUGUAGACGGCUUACUGGACCGCAACUGACGCUGAGGCGCGAAAGCUAGGGGAGCAAACAGG